UACAGAGGGGGCAAGCGUUGUUCGGAAUUACUGGGCGUAAAGGGCGCGUAGGCGGCCGCCUAAGUCGGUGGUGAAAUCCUGGAGCUCAACUCCAGAACUGCCUUCGAUACUGAGAGUCUCGAGUCCGGGAGAGGUGAGUGGAACUGCGAGUGUAGAGGUGAAAUUCGUAGAUAUUCGCAAGAACACCAGUGGCGAAGGCGGCUCACUGGCCCGGUACUGACGCUGAGGUGCGAAAGCGUGGGGAGCAAACAGG
rnacentral:rRNA from 1 species